GUUAGUGUGGGGAUGCUUGAGCCCUCGUCAGUUACUGAAGAACUGGCGUUAGUUUGGUUGAUUGGGUCCGUCCUUUCACCUGCUCCAGGUAAACCGUGGCGGGUUGAUCCUUCCUCCUCAUCCGCUUCCACUCCGAGAAGGUGACGCGCGUGUGUCCGCUUUACGUGAUAGUAGAAGGAGUUAUACACUCUGUACUCACUCGGACAGCCAUCAAUUCCACACACCACGCGAAAGUCAGGGCUGCGGCUGUGCAUGGUAUUAAUGUGACUCAAACGUUGUCUCAGACUCAAUGCUACAAACACGUAGCAUAUAAAGCAACGCCAAAUCAUGUUGGAAGCUAGUAUGUUUCAUUCGGUAGCGCGGGCUGCAUUUGUGCCGUAAAAUAACUCGUUACCAUGGUUACACGCGCCUGCUAAAUUGUCGUAAAUGUGGGGGAUAAACUAAAUUAUUUUUUUUUUAACCUAUAAUAAUUAACGUUAUUUUGCAAUGCACAGAGACAGUUGUUUGGUUUAAAAACCAAUGAAUCAUCCUUUUAGGAUUUUUGGGCCAAAGAAAUGUCAGGCAAAUUGAACACGAACUUCGUUUCUGGCUGUGGUGAAUGAUCUGGUGGACAUCUUAAGUUCAUGCAGACACGUGCCUGCCACUACUGUCCGAGAGUUCUUUGCAUCCGUGUUUCAUUGGAACCGAACAGUGACUGGACGAAGCAAGCUAACGACAAAAAAAGCUAACUAGUGUGCUAAGUAGGCUAACAGCAUGGAAGGACUGGAUGAGGUCACAGUGUCGGUUUUAAAGGCAAACAAGCCUGCGGAUAUCAACAGUCCAGACACCCACUGUCCAGCAACCUUGGCCAAACACUACAAUACCCUACAAACUUUGUUUAAUAUAAAAAACCCAAACCACCAGGAUGUCUCUCAGCUCCUGGAUUUGGAAUUUCAGCCAGAAGAGCAUUCAUUGAUUCAAAUACUAUUCGCGAGGAGGACAGACACAAAAAGGUUCUAGAAGCAUAUCCUUGCUUCAAGGACAUUGGCCAUGUGAUGGAGGAGCUUCAUCGCAUUUUGGAUAAAGAUAAUGGCAACUUCGUCAAUGAACUGAAGGGAAGAUGGCAAGAUUUCUGCCAGAAGGUGCAGUUUUUUGGUGUAUGGAAAAAGACGCUGAAGCCCCCAAUGGGAAUGGAUAAAGCUGAAUAGGCUCUUGAGAUCCUGUGUGUGCUGCCAUCACUGUUCCCAUCCACCUCUGCUCCUCCAAAGAGGGCACGGGAUGCGAGUGAGGCUCUGGUGCAUGUCCUUGAGGACCAAGAAGACCCUAAUACCUCUUUGAUGAAACGUCCUCUCUCCUGCCCAGUCCUGAUCGCGAGUCCGUCCAACUGCAUCCUAGCGGUAGGAGAUGUGCCAAUAACCACGUUUCCAAAAGACGAGGUUACGGAGGGUGCUUUAUACCUUAUGGCCUACUAUUAUACCCUACACCUUACAUACCCAAAGUGUGUAGCCACUCUGCUUUCCGUCAUACAGACGGAGGUUCUCUUGGACAAAAUCAAUGAGCGAGAUCUCACAUCAUCUUACAAGAAGAGCAUGGCUGACUGGAAUGCUUUUAUUGGCCAGUAGAGCCAGUGUGGUUAAGAUGUGGACUAUAGGAAAGCACUUCUCUCCUUCCAAGGCUACUACAGUCCAUGUUGGUUGCGAUUGAUUUUUGUUUGGAAAUUGGCCAGGUUAGCCCAGUUUUAUAAUUAAGGAUGCACGAUAAUAUCAGCGAACAUGCCGACAUUUUAUGUUUGGUUUGUGCAGUGCAGAGACUGCCUAGCUUUUAGUUGAUUUUAAAGGUUGUUUUUUUUUUUUUUUUAAUGUUGAGUUUAGGCUACAGUGUAUUCAGCGGAUAGGCUCCGUGCAUCCUUAAUGAUAAUUUUACAAUGGUAUUGUUUGAAGAAUGUUGUCAAAUGUCCAUGUUAAUAUAGCCCAGGACCUUUAAUUUAAAUGAUAAAAACACUUUGUAUUAAUAACAAAUGUUACAGGUUGAGCAGUUUUAGUAUGCCUAGCAGUGUGUUUGUCUGUGCUUUGAAUUGUGCCUGUGCAAUGCACAGAUUUUAGCAGUGUAUUAAGGGCCAGAUUGGGCAGAACAAAAAGUCACUGCAAAAUGACUUCUUUAAUGCAGUCCUCUCUGUUUAUGGGGCUUUACCAAUAAAGUUGCUGCUCUGCAAAUCUA